UCACGAAAGUGGGCUGUACUAGAAAUCGUCGUGCCAACCGCAAGGAGGCAGACGCUCAAGGUAUGACUCAUGAUUGGGUG
rnacentral:rRNA from 1 species